UUUUUUUUUUUUUUUUUUUUUUUUUUUGGUAUUUUGUCUGCUUCCUUCUCUCUGCUCUUCAGCAUGAUACCCCCCUACAUGCUAGGGACCUCCACACACACUCAAGUUGUCCUCUACCUGGGCCUUCCCCCCACCCCCCACCCAACCCCAGACAGGGACCUGACCUGACCUAAAGCUUCCGCACUUGCCAGUCCAGUUUAUGUCAUGCUAGGUGACAGAUUAGUUCUUUUGGUUACUUCACAGUAAGAUUAUGGACAGUCAGUAAUCACCUAAAAGCCCUCACCACCCCCUAGUGUCAGAGCAUUUGUUUUUUAGAUAGGAGAUUUUUAGAUCAAGCCACAAAGGUAUGAGCAGGAGCAGAGCUCCAGGUGGAGGAGGGGUACUUACGUGGUAUGGCUUUGGGCUCACCCCACAUCAGGUGGGGAGAUUUGCCAAGUGUGAGGAUGGUCAAGAUGAAAUCGAGGGUGAAAAUCUGGGACUGUCCCCUCACUGAGAAGAUCUAAGAGCUUCCGAUGGAGGGGGAUCCCAUCCUAUAACUCUAAUGGCUCCGUGGGCCCGAAUGAAGACUGUUAUUUUGUUUGCAUGUUUUUAUCAUGAUAAUUAAAAUGUGUUACUAGCAGAUUCAUCUCUUGCUUUCCAAGCAUGAUUUGUUCAGCUCAUACUAUUGAAAGAAAAGCCAAAAUUCAUCUACUGAAUCUAUAAGUGGGCUUGGGGCUUGGCAACAUUCUAUUUAUUUGCUAUAUAACAUUUUAUAUCUUAUGUAACUUGCUAUUAUACUUUGCUGGUCCUUGGAAAAAAAAAAAAAAAAGGUGGAUAUAUACAGAAUACCCAGGGAGAAGAGAGAUGUUUCCAAUCCCAUAGUGGUAGGUCCAAACCAUGGUGAAGAGGACAAAUAGGUAAUGUUUAUUUGUGCUACAAUAAAGACCAAUUUUCCACCUGUUAGGUUUGUAAUCAUUCUUUGAAAAAAAAAUAAUAAUAUCACUGCCAAAACAUUGCGAUACGUAAAUAGAAAGGUGGGAGAAAAAGAAAGCCAUAGUCAAAAUCUGAAACGUACAUGUCUGUUCUAAGGAAGCAAAGAUAAACUGAUCAUUUGGAAAACCCGACACAAAGGCACUUAACAAAUCUGUUUAAAUACCUAGAUUGGAUAGCUCUUCUCAUCCCUCUGCAUUUGUAUAAAAUAAAUAUUUCUGAUUUGGACCUUUGAAGCACCACAUCACAGAGUUAUUAUAUGAAACCAAAGCUCCAUUCGUAUGUAAACACCGUGAUGCUGUGCUCUUGAGAUAGGAUUACAGAGAAACAAGUUUGAGUAUUUAAGCCUCAUCCUAAACCAUAGGAGUAUACGUGUGUUGUGUGUACACACACACAAAAAAACCGGUGCGGGUGCAUGGUGUGUUUAUUAAUACUAAUGAUAUUAUAAUCUAUCCUCUCUUAGAACAACAUCCAUCCAGUACCUUGCCCACUGCUUAGAGUUAUGCAAAUAUAUGUUUUUCAAUGAUCACAAAACGAGAUCCCUGUUAUCCGGAACUCUAAUUUUAGUUGGUAUGCGUGAUAGCACAAACUGUACAAAAUGACAUGAUGUCUUAGAAAGCACGGUCAAGAUUUUAUGGAAAAUUUGGGAGCUCUAUCGUAUCUGUGUUCUCUGUGAGACACAAAUUUUGGCCUGAAUUUUCUUUCCUUUCUUAGAUAGGUCUUAAAUCCUGCAGAAGGCUCUGCCAAAUAUUAAAGGCAACGUUUCAUUAAAAAUUAAUUAGGCAAUAUUAAAUGUGCAUCCCUAUUUUAGGACAUGAGUAAUCUAAAACAAUUUCAGUAAGUAUUUGUAUAUAUCUUUAAAAACCACAUGCUCUCAAAUAAUAGAAAUUAAACAAAGAGCAAAUCAAUGAGUCUAAAAUGCAUAAGGACUUGAAAUUAUAGUCAUUAUCGUGUAAUACAGUGUACAAGUUUUGCAGCACACCUAGCCUUGAAAUUGGGGGCAAGAAUGAAUUCUAGUCCAAUAAGCUGCCGCCUUUGUUGUGGGUGAUUUGAUAAAAACACAUGUUCAGGGUGAACAGCGCGUAAACUUGCCAAAUAAAAUACGGGAUGCCCAGUUAAAUUUGAAUUUCAGAUAAGCAACAAAUAAGUUUUUAGAAUAAGCGUGUCCCAAAUAUUGCAGGGGCCAUAUUUUUACUCAAAAAAAAAAUUUUUUAAGUGUGCAUUGUUUAUCUGAGAUUCAGAUUUUACUGGGCAGUCUGUAUUUUUAUUUGCUAAAUCUGGCAACCCUAACAGCAUGGAUUAUAGGACAUUCUGGAAAAAGCAAAAUGGGCUGGAUUAAUUAAUGUCUAUACGAGGCAUCACCCUUUCAUUCAUCCACUAAAUAAAUAUUCCUCCCUAGCUCCCUCAAUCCAUCCUCCCUCCUUCCUGUGUCCCCUCCCUGCAUUUCCUUCAUCUUACAACAAACAUCGGUUCGGCUUCUACUGUGCACCAGCCUCUGCUCAGCAAUGGCUACGUAAUGGGGAACCAGCAGACGUGCUGAUGAUAAUAGCCAAGUGUGCUGGCCCUCCGGCAAGCGCUUUCCAAACAUUAUUCCACUUUAGUCUCACAAGCAGCCCUAUAAGGUAGGGGUUGAUUCAACCGUGUAACAGGGGAGGAAAAGGAGGCAGAGAGAUUCUGCAUGAAUUCCUGCGAUCUCAUAACCUCGCUCAUUCAUUAUCACCUAUCCAGAAGGCUAUCACUCCAGGCCACGCGCCGCGCUAAUCCCAGGGAAUAAACCAGUGACCAGAACCAGAGCCUGCCUUUUAGGCUCGCCGUAGACAUGCAGAUGGGCAGCUCUGGGGUAAAUGCUCACUGGAGCACACAGGAGGGACAUCUGCCUGACUCCCAGGAGGAGGCCCAGGAGGGGGCAUGAUGGCUUUGGGGAGCACGCGAUGUUAGAGCUUCCUCUGGCUGCCCAGGCUCUCCGGCUUGGGUGCAAAUCCUAACUCAUCCACUCUCCCCAAGACAUGGCCCGCUUCUGGGUCUAUAAUAUGGGAGCACAGUUGUCCCCUCAUAGAAAAUUUGUGAGAAUUAAAUCAGCCUGUGCAAUUCCUUUCCAGAGAGCCUGGCAACUAGGAGGUUCACAGGAAAAGUCAGUGCUCCACAGCCUCUAUGGGAGGCCCGUGUUCUUCAGCCUCACCUCAAGUGCGUAGACGUGUGGCUUCUCCCCAGGUGCCCCCAUGGAAGCCCCCACUUGCUAUUAGAUCACCUCAAGUGUGUAGACGUGUGGCUUCUCCCCAGGUGCCCCAUGGAACCCUCAGCUUGCUAUUUGAUCACCUCAAGUGCGUAGACGUGUGGCUUCUCCCCAGGUGCCCCCAUGGAGGCCUCCACUUGCUAUUUGAUCAUAACGAUAGCAAAUGACAGCAACACUCCCACUGAGUGGCUUCUUCGGCGAGCCAGGCGUGGCGGCGAUCCAUGACAUUCUGAUUUUGCCACGAGCCGGAGGGUUUCGUGACUUGUCCACCAGCACAAGGGCAGUGGGCAGGUGGACUCAAGCCCGGGACCGCUCCACGCUCCUUGCCUACUUCUGCCUCUUGGCAUCCCCAUCCCUGCCGCCUUGCCUGAUGGUUUUUAGGUGCGACCCCUGGCCACGUGGACACCGAACAGCCCAGAAAAAGGCUGUACCAGUGGCACAAGAGCCAGAGCCCGGCAAGCCUCUCCCCUGAGCUUCUCCGAGGCUCCAGCUGCAAAGCAAAUAUUGAAAGUCGGGAGCCCGGGAGCGGCCCACGGGGUGAAGGGAGGCAUCCUCGCUCCCCCGGCUGCAACGGCCUCGCCUGGCCAGGCAAGUCACCUGUACCAUUCGGUGUCUAACCAAGGGAUGACCCGCAUUCCAGGGAAAAUAUACAUGUACCCUAUUUUUCUUUUUUUGAUCCUCAUCCUGACUCUCACUCGGGGGAAGCAAAAUGAGAAUUCAGAAACAGGGUCAGCUAUGAGACUAGCGUAUCUCCAACACAGCAAGAAACAAAUGUGUCAUCUGUUUUAAUGCUUCCAUUUUAUGCAAGCGAUCUGGCUUGCCUCCCUCGCACAUCGCCGGUCCCCCUCUCCCUUGCACUGUCCCCCUCAUCGGGACCUUCGAAAUCUCAACCCUGACGUGUAUAAUUUGGUGCUUUAAUAUAGAGUAACAUUAUUUUUCAUUUACUCCAAUCUGCCAUCAGUAUCAUCUUUUCAUUUAACCAGAUGCAAUUCUUUUUUCUUUCGCUAAAUUGAAAAUCCAUGAGCGACAGGGAGUGCAAUGUUUUAAUUAGCUCAUAUUUUUUAUAUGGAUUUAUGUCUUUAAAAUACAUUUGUGUAAUUCUUCAGCUAAAUUAAAAACGUCUUUCCGCGAAAGUGAGGAGGGGAAAAUAAAGAGCUGAAUUGUGUCAUUAGCUUAGGUAGAUACAGAUGGAGAGCAGGACCUCACGGGGUGGGGGGGACACCUAGGACGGCUAGAGCUUCGGCCUGGGCCCACUCUGAACUUGCCCCUUCAUUUAAGGAAGUCUUCCUCUAUAAAGAUUUCACGGAAACGGCUUGGGGAGGGAUUUUUUUUUUUUUAAGGCACCUAGUAAGUAAACAAGCAGCUACCUUCAACGAACUAAUUUGAAACCGAACCAGACGCCAAACAAAACAGGCGAAAAAAAAAAAAAAA
rnacentral:lncRNA from 1 species